rnacentral:rRNA from 1 species
CCUACGGGUGGCAGCAGUGGGGAAUCUUGGACAAUGGGCGCAACCUGAUCCAGCCAUGCCGCGUGAGUGACGAAGGUCUUCGGAUUGUAAAGCUCUUUUGCCAGGGACGCGGUACCUGGAGAAUAAGCCCCGGCUAACUUCGUGCCAGCAGCCGCGGUAAUACGAAGGGGGCUAGCGUUGUUCGGAAUUACUGGGCGUAAAGCGCACGUAGGCGGAUCUAUAAGUCAGGGGUGAAAUCCCGGGGCUCAACUCGGAACUGCCUUUGAUACUGUAGAUCUCGAGUCCGGAAGAGGUGAGUGGAAUUCCUAGUGUAGAGGUGAAAUUCGUAGAUAUUAGGAAGAACACCAGUGGCGAAGGCGGCUCACUGGUCGGACUGACGCUGAGGUGCGAAACGUGGGGAGCAAACAGGAUUAGAUACCCUUGUAGUC